AUUUCCUGAUUCGCAAAAAAGAAAAAGACGAAAGGUUUCUGAUAUGUAAUAAAACAUUUAAUAAGUUUCUUUAAUUUUAAUAUAUAAUACACCCCGCGAUAAAAAAAUAGUAUACUCCUAAAUAUUGCUAUUUUUAGAUGUGAUAAAACUUGAUCUUUUCCUUAUAUAUAUAUUUCAAUAGAAUUCCAAAGUUGUUUUUAUUGGAAGAGUUAAAUUGAAACGUAAACAAAAGCAGUCACCAAUGUGAUAAAAUGAUGACAUAGCCUCGAAAUUCUUUUUCUGUUGUUAUUAAAUCGUCCGACCGUGUACUGUAUUAUUGUGUGUUUGUUGUCGUUUUUUUUUAUUAACAUUUUACUAUGGGUAGAGGAAAAUUUUUAUCUGACGUCGAAAUAAAAACGGUUUUGGUACUACAUAAAGAGAACCAUUUCGUUUCAAAAAUUACACGCAUUAUAUAUUGAAGCAGAAAAUGAUGAAAACAUUGAAUUUGUGAGGUGUGCCAUUUUUUAUCGUGAAGUAUAUGUGUAUACACAUUUAUAUAUUACAAUGUACCAAUUAUAAACAGAACCAUACAAACACAAUAUCUUCUUUUUACUUUGUUGAAAGGUUUGUUAAAAUCAUGCAAAUAAGAUAUAUAUCUUUUAUUAUACACACUUAAUACAUUACUUAAAACUAUAUCAGUAUGUCUGUACUUCAUGUGUUCAAGAAAAAAAGACCAAAAAGUAUAACAAGAAUGAUGGUUUUCCCAUGAAAUAUAUAAGGGUAUUGAUUAUUUUCGAUUAAAUGCAAAUUCUGACAUAUUUCAAAUUAUGACAAUUAUUUAUUAUUUAUUUUCUUUUCUAAUUCUUCUAUAUUUCUAUCUGUAACAAAAUCCUUAUAUCAUCCAUAAAACAUAUUGUAGUUGUUGCUGUUAAAGUUCCUACUAUAAAGAAUCCAUCAAACAUUACAUUCCAUAUGCCUAAUCCUUUAAUAAAUCUCUGUAAAACAUUUUCAAUUAUAUCCUGUUCUUUAUCUUCUCCUUUAGUUCGUAUUAGGAACUAUCUAUUAUUAAAAUAAAUCUCUGGCUUCUUGAUUAUAUGGUUAGUUAAUUCAUUCGUAUUUUUUUACAUUAUCUAUAAUAUUCUUCCAUUUAUUUGAGUCAAAAGCAUUUUUUAUGUCUAGUGUAAUAAGUAUAACACGCAUUAUUUCUUUUAUUGGCCUUUCAUAGACCCGUUUUAUUGUUUCUGUCACAAUCCUUAAGGCAUCCAUCGAUGACCUUCCUCCUUUAUAAUUACAUUGUAUUUUGGAAAAUGCAUUGCUUUUUGAUCAAAGGCAUUAAUCUGCUAAGAAUAAGUUUUCCACAGGGGUGAACAAGAGCUAUAUAUAGGGAUUUGUAAGAAAGUGCUUCCAAAGGAUCUAUAGGAAACAAAACUAGAAAUUGUUUUUUUGAGGUAUCCAGAAGGCUCCACAAUACCAAAAAAUAUUGUAUAUUACAUACAAUACUUCUGGGUAUUUUCCUAUCAUAGUUUUUAAAGCUUCAUCAGGGAUACCAUCAGAUUCUAUCACUUUGCAUAUCUUGCAAAUCUCUACAUCCACUGUGUACAGUUCAUUCUCCUCAAAAUUCUUAUCUUCUAUUCAGAUGGUUCUUUUUUUCUGUGAAAAGAGCUCAUUUGCAAUCUCAAUGAGCUAUUUUUCUGUAUCUUGAAUAUCAUACUUUAAUGCUCCAAACUGUCUUAUUAUUUUAUAUGGCUGAUUGCAAGAAUUAUUAUCCAUUUCAUUGCUUGCUUUUUUCUAGUAGCUAUUUUUGUCAAUCUUUAUGCCACUUAAAAAAUUUUUCUUUGCUUUCUAAUAUGCUUUUAUCAGAAUAGC